UGUUGGAGAUCCUUCCUCAGGGGAGACUUCCUGUAAGCUUGGGUCUUUAGAUAUGGGUGAGCAUUUUUUUUUUUUUGUAACACCUUCUCAUUGUGCUUAUCUGAGACUGUUCCUGCUACCCUUAUGGCACACAAAGGGUACACAAAGCUGGACUUUCUCCAGAAGAACAUGACUCUAGGGGCUGCUGCAGCAUUACUCCACUACCUGAUCCCUGGGGGCAAGCCAAGAGACACCACUUUCUUUGAAGAACAGCUGGCUGGGGAUUCUGAUAUUUUUGGUGCCACUGUUGAUUGACUGGACUUCAAGUCAGGUGUGAAGAGAAGAAAAGUUCAAAGUUGUGAUUCAGUGUGAGGAUUAAUAAUUAAGGAAAAGAAUACACUGGGUAUUACUUUGCCUCCACCAGCCCUACUGCAAAAUUUUCAUAUCCUUUUAAAGAUGUAUCCGGCCCUCUGCAAAAGAAAAGCACAAAAAUACACAAGAAAGU